AACGAACGCUGGCGGCAGGCCUAACACAUGCAAGUCGAACGCAUCCUUCGGGGUGAGUGGCGCACGGGUGAGUAACACGUGGGAAUGUAUCCUUUGGUUCGGAAUAACGUCUGGAAACGAACGCUAAUACCGGAUGAGCCCUUAGGGGGAAAGAUUUAUCGCCGAAGGAGCAGCCCGCGUCUGAUUAGGUAGUUGGUGGGGUAAAGGCCUACCAAGCCGACGAUCAGUAGCUGGUCUGAGAGGAUGAUCAGCCACACUGGACUGAGACACGGCCCAGACUCCUACGGGAGGCAGCAGUGGGGAAUAUUGGACAAUGGGCGCAAGCCUGAUCCAGCCAUGCCGCGUGAGUGAUGAAGGCCUUCGGGUUGUAAAGCUCUUUCGCACACGACGAUGAUGACGGUAGUGUGAGAAGAAGCCCCGGCUAACUUCGUGCCAGCAGCCGCCGUAAAAC
rnacentral:rRNA from 1 species